GCUCCCUGAUGUUAGCGGCGGACGGGUGAGUAACACGUGGGUAACCUGCCUGUAAGACUGGGAUAACUCCGGGAAACCGGGGCUAAUACCGGAUGGUUGUUUGAACCGCAUGGUUCAAACAUAAAAGGUGGCUUCGGCUACCACUUACAGAUGGACCCGCGGCGCAUUAGCUAGUUGGKGAGGKAACGGCUCACCAAGGCAACGAUGCGUAGCCGACCUGAGAGGGUGAUCGGCCACACUGGGACUGAGACACGGCCCAGACUCCUACGGGAGGCAGCAGUAGGGAAUCUUCCGCAAUGGACGAAAGUCUGACGGAGCAACSCCSCGUGAGUGAUGAAGGUUUUCGGAUCGUAAAGCUCUGUUGUUAGGGAAGAACAAGUACCGUUCGAAUAGGGSGGUACCUUGACGGUACCUAACCAGAAAGCCACGGCUAACUACGUGCCAGCAGCCGCGGUAAUACGUAGGUGGCAAGCGUUGUCCGGAAUUAUUGGGCGUAAAGGGCUCGCAGGCGGUUUYUUAAGUCUGAUGUGAAAGCCCCCGGCUCAACCGGGGAGGGUCAUUGGAAACUGGGGAACUUGAGUGCAGAAGAGGAGAGUGGAAUUCCACGUGUAGCGGUGAAAUGCGUAGAGAUGUGGAGGAACACCAGUGGCGAAGGCGACUCUCUGGUCUGUAACUGACGCUGAGGAGCGAAAGCGUGGGGAGCGAACAGGAUUAGAUACCCUGGUAGUCCACGCCGUAAACGAUGAGUGCUAAGUGUUAGGGGGUUUCCGCCCCUUAGUGCUGCAGCUA
rnacentral:rRNA from 1 species